CUUUCUAAAGGAGCUGAAAAACAUGAUGACAUGUAACGAAACCUCCUCAGGGCUGCAGUUUGGUAUUCGGUGGGGAAGCAGCAGGGACUCGGAGGUUCACUGUGGCUGCUCAGGUGGUACGGGGAGCUCCUAUCCCUUGGCACUUGCCGGCAGUACAACACGCCGUAGUAACACAAGAAGAAUUAAGUUGCUCAGAUGCACGCCAGAGCGUAAAAACAACUGUCUAUACAGUCACCGUGCCUCGGCCAGCGUACCUGUCUGCUGCACGCCCUGCACACGGGUAGCUGUUGUUAUGCUCGUGACUUGGCAUUCACUUCUACCCUUUGUGAGUCUGCUCAGGAGGCAUGGAUCCUGAUCCUCUUGUGAUUCUUUGAAAAGAUGGGAUAUUUCAAAGUAACCGUCAAAACAGAGACUUUUCUUAAUUGGUCACCGAGAUUUUCGGCUCGUAGCCUGUGGCUGCCAUGGGGAUAUCAUUUCAUCACUGUGGGAGCGAAGGCGAUCGAGCUGAUGGCACACGGGAGAGGCAGCCCGUGCGACUGUCAGCGUGAGGAGGAAUCACGUUCGUGAGAGAACGUCUCUGCUAAGGUGCCAUCCCCGCUCUGGAAAGUAGGUAAAAGCCCGCUGAAGGCUGAGCAGCCAGUCUCGGGCUCGUGCACAGGCUGGGCUGCGUAAGGUGCGGGGGAGUGUAAUCGCCCAUUGUUUGGAAGGAAGAGUUUUGAUGUAAUUAUACCCUUCAGCCAUUGCCACACUUUCCUCUCUUUCAUCUUCAGGCAGGUCCACACGUUCAGAUGUGAAGCUGGAAAUGAAACACAUCUGGAUAUCCAAAAAUGACAACAGACUUUUAUUUGCUAUUUUUGGUAUACAACAAAAGCUUUGUAUCUUGCUAAUUGAACAUAUGGGCUCUCAGUUGCUUUUUUCCCCUGCUAAACUCUACUUUUCCAUGUGUCAUCAUACGAUUCCAACAUUUGAUCUGUCGAGUCCAUCUUGGCCAUGUGUUUGUUGUAAUCUGCUACACAUGUAGGCUUGUUUUCGUGUGCGUCCUGACCUCCAGUGAGAGCUGCAGUUGUUUCCAUCAUGGAUAGUGUUGAGGAGUUACACAUCCUUUUUAUCAGUGUAUUUGGCCACCGGCAGCUCCUCGCAGUGCGGAUCAGGGAUCCUGCCAAGCCUCUGAAAGCUCAGUGUUCAGGGUAGCCAUAUCUGUUUGUAUUGUGAUACCAGAUGCUGGUUUUUUUCAAUGUAACAGAAUAAGAAGGGAGAACUUCCCCAAAAUAGAAAAUAUCCACAUAAGUAAAACCCAGCGUCUCACCGAGGGAAGCUGAGGGUCAGCGUUAGCUAGUUAGAGUUGGAGCGUGAGGAAGGGAUGGAGGUGGAUGGCUGGUUGAUGGUCAUCCGACAGACCUGUGCAAACCGGGCAGGGGUCGGCAUUGCAGUGGCCAGCGUGGAAAAGCAGCGUUUGCUUGUGCAGAAGGCAGCGUGCUCUUCGGAGUCUGCGGCAGAAGGGUCUGCGGGAUAAAACGAGAAAAAUGCUCUAUCUGGAGUGAAGGACUGAGCCCUUCAGAGCAGGCUGUGCCAUAAAUACCCACUGGGAACUUGGCCCCACUGCACGGACGUUCGUGAGACUUGACUCAUUACGAAUACAGGACCUCUUGAUUAGCAUGAAAGAUUCGUCAUCAGAAUUUUUUUGUGCCUGUGGGGGAUCCACUUACUUAUUUCCAACUACAGCUCUAAAUUGUUCCCAUGCUUCAUCAUGGUUUGAUUAGCUAAAAUCUUCGAGUAACUGUUUGAGGCACUUACCAUAACUAAAAAACAGGUGACAAUGAUCAAACCAUAGGGUAUGGAGGGUAUGGAGCCCGAAUGUGGUUGGAGGCAACCCCGUUACAGGUUCCUGAGCACUGUAAAGACGUAUCACCUGCACGCUUUUAAAGUGCUGAGCACUGCUGCAUAUUGUUCCCCAGGAUAAGUGACAAAUUAAUGCGACAAAAAAAAGGGGUAACUGCAUUUAAUUAAUUGCCAGCGCACAUGCAUGCGUAGCCCCAGCCUGUGCAUCCAUGUCAUGUUACAGCUGUGCUAAUAGUCACCUUUCUUGCAGUAAAUAUUGGGCCAAUUUCAUCACAUUUGGUUUAUGUUUAUCAACACGGCACUUAAGCAAUGGGGUUUUGGUUGCAAUAAGGGAAAGAGUCCAUUUCUGUCUAGCCCCGAGGUGAGGGAAUGAGAAGCCAUAUGUGGUGUGGCCCGGCUGGAGGCUCUCGUCUCUCCGUGUUGCAACACACCCGCCUGACUGCAGCAAAAAUCAAAUAUUUGUACUUGAAGACAGAGCUGAGGCAAUUUCCACCAGGAAUAUGCCGUCUCUCAACAAUUGAAAAAUAUUAUACAUGCGUCGUGCAUUAUUCUGUUCAGUUCUUGACAUAUGCUGCUGAGCAAUUUUGUCUUGAACUCCCUUUUUCUUUUUAGCCAAGAGAGUAACAUGAAACAAAUCUAAGAUUGCACUCGAGGACUUCCCAAUCAACUGAAGAAUGAACUCUGAAGCAGAAGUUGUAUUUAACAAAACGGACUUACAAUUAUUAUUCAUAAAUGCACAUGUUAUGGCUGCAGUUGUUUCACUUCUUUCUUUUACAACCCUAUAAAUUGUAUACAGAACAUAAAGGCUUUACUUCUUAAAUAAAUGUUUUGCAGCCGCCAUAAAUUAUCUUUCUUGCAUUCAUAAUGAAAAAAAAAUCACUGUUUGAUGUUUUAUAUCCUCUUCCCUAAAAUGUAAAAUAUGGUAGUUGGAGCCAG